rnacentral:rRNA from 1 species
CAUGCAAGUCGAGCGGUAAGGCCCUUCGGGGUACACGAGCGGCGAACGGGUGAGUAACACGUGGGUGAUCUGCCUCGCACUCUGGGAUAAGCCUGGGAAACUGGGUCUAAUACCGGAUAUGACCUUACAUCGCAUGGUGUUUGGUGGAAAGAUUUAUCGGUGCGAGAUGGGCCCGCGGCCUAUCAGCUUGUUGGUGGGGUAAUGGCCUACCAAGGCGACGACGGGUAGCCGGCCUGAGAGGGCGACCGGCCACACUGGGACUGAGACACGGCCCAGACUCCUACGGGAGGCAGCAGUGGGGAAUAUUGCACAAUGGGCGAAAGCCUGAUGCAGCGACGCCGCGUGAGGGAUGACGGCCUUCGGGUUGUAAACCUCUUUCGACAGGGACGAAGCGCAAGUGACGGUACCUGUAGAAGAAGCACCGGCCAACUACGUGCCAGCAGCCGCGGUAAUACGUAGGGUGCGAGCGUUGUCCGGAAUUACUGGGCGUAAAGAGCUUGUAGGCGGCUUGUCGCGUCGAUCGUGAAAACUUGGGGCUCAACCCCAAGCUUGCGGUCGAUACGGGCAGGCUUGAGUACUUCA